GGGCCUUUAGCUCAGUUGGUAGAGCGCCACGUUUACACCGUGGAUGUCAUCGGUUCGAGCCCGGUAGGGCCCACCC
rnacentral:tRNA from 28 species